UACAGAGGUCUCAAGCGUUGUUCGGAUUCAUUGGGCGUAAAGGGUGCGUAGGUGGCGCCGUAAGUCAGGUGUGAAAUUUCGGAGCUUAACUCCGAAACUGCAUUUGAUACUGCGGUGCUUGAGGACUGGAGAGGAGACUGGAAUUCACGGUGUAGCAGUGAAAUGCGUAGAUAUCGUGAGGAAGACCAGUGGCGAAGGCGGGUCUCAGGACAGUUCCUGACACUGAGGCACGAAGGCCAGGGGAGCAAACGGG
rnacentral:rRNA from 1 species